rnacentral:rRNA from 1 species
UACGUAGGGCGCAAGCGUUAAUCGGAAUUACUGGGCGUAAAGCGUGCGCAGGCGGUUGUGUAAGACAGAUGUGAAAUCCCCGGGCUCAACCUGGGAACUGCAUUUGUGACUGCACAGCUGGAGUGCGGCAGAGGGGGAUGGAAUUCCGCGUGUAGCAGUGAAAUGCGUAGAUAUGCGGAGGAACACCGAUGGCGAAGGCAAUCCCCUGGGCCUGCACUGACGCUCAUGCACGAAAGCGUGGGGAGCAAACAGG